rfam:Lactobacillus fermentum CECT 5716, complete genome.
UAAUUUCUUCGGGGCAGGGUGAAAAUCCCGACCGACGGUGACAAGCAAUGCUUGAAGUCCGUGACCCGCAAAUUUGCGGCUGAACCAGUGCGAUUCUGGUACCGACAGUGAAAGUCUGGAUGGGAGAAGAAAAGG